rnacentral:rRNA from 1 species
UACGUAGGGCGCAAGCGUUAUCUGGAAUUAUUGGGCGUAAAGAGCUCGUAGGCGGUUUGUCGCGUCUGCCGUGAAAGUCCGGGGCUUAACUCCGGAUCUGCGGUGGGUACGGGCAGACUAGAGUGCAGUAGGGGAGACUGGAAUUCCUGGUGUAGCGGUGAAAUGCGCAGAUAUCAGGAGGAACACCGAUGGCGAAGGCAGGUCUCUGGGCUGUAACUGACGCUGAGGAGCGAAAGCAUGGGGAGCGAACAGG